UUAUUAAAGUGGCGGACGGGUAAGUAACGCGUGAGAAACUUGCCCAUAAGUAUGGAAUAACUGUUCGAAAGGACAGCUAAGACCGUAUAAGUUAUCGAAUCACAUGGUUUGAUAAUGAAAGCUUCGGCGCUUAUGGAGAGUCUCGCGUCCCAUUAGCUAGUUGGUAGGGUAAAGGCCUACCAAGGCCACGAUGGGUAGCCGGCCUGAGAGGGUGGACGGCCACAAGGGAACUGAGACACGGUCCUUACUCC
rnacentral:rRNA from 1 species